CACCACAUCACACCAACAGGGCAACAUGACUACUAGUCUUUCGGCUGGGGCGGCCACGGGGAAAAACAAAACCCCCGAGAUGAAAGGAUAAACCCCCUAUCCACGAACCACCAUUCUAAGAAUCAACAAAUGACACCACUGACCCAACA
rnacentral:rRNA from 1 species